rnacentral:misc_RNA from 1 species
UUUUAUGAAAUAAUAUAUUAUUAAUUAUUAUUUAAAAUUAUGAUAUAAUUAAGUUUACAAAAUGUAAUUGUAAAUUGAAAAUAUAAUUAAUUUUAAACUUUAUAACACUAAUAGAGUUAUAUUUGUAAUUUACAUUAAAUUAUUAAUAUAAUUGUUAGAUUUAUUGGUCUUUAUCAUUAAAAUGAGUUUUAGAUAAUAGUUAAUAAAAAAUAUGAUGGUAAUUUGACUAAUUAAUCUUAAUGAGUUGAGAUAAAGCUCAUGAGCUUGACAAAUGAGCUGAGCUUAAUAAAUGAGGUAAGUUCAUGAGCUUAAUAAAUGAAUUAAAUGCAAGUCAAGCUUGUGCCUAAUUAAAUUUCAAUGAAUUGAGUUUGAACUUGAAAUUCAAACUCAAGCUUAGUAAUAAUGUAAGAGCCUAGUUUGAGCUUUUCAAAGCUUAGCUAAUUUAUCCAUAUGAGAGAAAACACUGAUUUUGAAGGCUUCUUCAAUGUAGAUUUUCAAUGCUUGAAAAAAAAAAAUCUUAAUUCUACUUUUUUGUUACAGUUAUGCGGAUCCAG